GACGAACGCUGGCGGCGUGCUUAACACAUGCAAGUCGAGCGGUAAGGCCCUUUCGGGGGUACACGAGCGGCGAACGGGUGAGUAACACGUGGGUGACCUGCCCUCAGCUCUGGGAUAAGCCUGGGAAACCGUGGUACUAAUACGUGGAUAUGACCUCCACGGUGCAUGUCGUGGGGUGGAAAGCCUUGUGCGGCUGAGGAUGGGCCCGCGGCCUAUCAGCUUGUUGGUGGGGUGANGGCCUACCAAGGCGACGACGGGUAGCCGGCCUGAGAGGGCGACCGGCCACACUGGGACUGAGACACGGCCCAGACUCCUACGGGAGGCAGCAGUGGGGAAUCUUGCGCAAUGGGCGAAAGCCUGACGCAGCGACGCCGCGUGAGGGAUGACGGCCU
rnacentral:rRNA from 1 species